GAAGUAUUAGUAAAACAAUUACAUAACUUUGUCGAAGUUAAAUUAUAGNCUUGAAUUCUAUAUACUUCU
rnacentral:tRNA from 1 species